UACGGAGGGGGCUAGCGUUGUUCGGAAUUACUGGGCGUAAAGCGCACGUAGGCGGCGAUUUAAGUCAGAGGUGAAAGCCCGGGGCUCAACCCCGGAAUAGCCUUUGAGACUGGAUUGCUUGAACAUCGGAGAGGUGAGUGGAAUUCCGAGUGUAGAGGUGAAAUUCGUAGAUAUUCGGAAGAACACCAGUGGCGAAGGCGGCUCACUGGACGAUUGUUGACGCUGAGGUGCGAAAGCGUGGGGAGCAAACAGGAUUAGAAAC
rnacentral:rRNA from 1 species